rnacentral:rRNA from 1 species
UACGUAGGGGGCAAGCGUUGUCCGGAUUUAUUGGGCGUAAAGAGCGUGUAGGCGGUUAUGCAGGUCCGCUGUGAAAACUGGAGGCUUAACCUCCAGACGUCGGUGGAAACCUCAUGACUAGAGUCCGGAAGAGGAGAGUGGAAUUCCUGGUGUAGCGGUGAAAUGCGCAGAUAUCAGGAAGAACACCGAUGGCGAAGGCAGGUCUCUGGGCCGAUACUGACGCUGAGGAGCGAAAGCGUGGGGAGCGAACAGG